GAGGAAUAUUGGGCAAUGCCCGCAAGGGUGACCCAGCAACGCCGCGUGGAGGAUGAAUGUCGUAAGAUUGUAAACUCCUGUUAGAGGGGAAGAAUAGUACCGGUUGGACCGGUAUAUGACUGUACCCUCAGAGAAAGCCCCGGCUAACUACGUGCCAGCAGCCGCGGUAAUACGUAGGGGGCAAGCGUUGUCCGGAUUUACUGGGUGUAAAGGGCGCGCAGGCGGGAUAAAAAGUCAGUGGUGAAAUCCUACAGCUUAACUGUAGAACUGCCUUUGAUACUUUUAUUCUUGAGUUCGGGAGAGAGAGACGGAAUUCCAGGUGUAGUGGUGAAAUACGUAGAUAUCUGGAAGAACACCAGUUGCGUAGGCGGUCUCUUGGUCCGACACUGACGCUGAGGCGCGAAAGCGUGGGGAGCAAACA
rnacentral:rRNA from 1 species